UCUUAUUUUCGAGUGCAAACUGGUUUUUUCGUCUUUUUGCAUCGCCGGUUUUUGCCGUGCAUGCAAAAGGACCCAAAAUAAAAUUCGUCGAGUUGGUUUUUGCGUCGUUGUGCAUCGUCGCGAGAAUUGCUCAGACAAGUGAUGGAAAUCGACGGAAAAGUACCAAGAAAACUUUCUGAAGGAAUGUUUUCAGUCCUAUCUAACGAAAAUGGAUAGCUGAAUUUGUUGUCGGAGGCAACCUGAGUAUUUUAGGAUGUAUACCUUUCGCAUUCCUUGAUCGGUCAUCGUAAUCACAGAUAGUGGUUUGAAAAUUUCUAUAGUGGAUCUCUAAACAGGCAAUCUAUUCAAGCAAUAAUUCAGGAUGCCCUUGGGCGAUAACUUUCAAGACCAUAUUGAAUGGAUUAUGGUUACUUAUGUUCCUUUAAGUGAUUUCGAAAUACCUAGAAAAGUUUCCGGCAAUCGUAAUCUGUUUUGAGUAUCAAAUUUACCGAAUGGUAAAAUGACGUUUGCGCCAAAUAAUAAAUGCAAUAAGACGUAAAUCCAACAUAAAUUACAUAACCACCAAGAAAGGCAGCUUGGAUUUUUAUGUGCUAAUUAUGACAAAAG